rnacentral:rRNA from 1 species
AUUGAACGCUGGCGGCAGGCCUAACACAUGCAAGUCGAACGAGCGGCGGACGGGUGAGUAAUGUAUGGGAAUCUGCCUGAUCGAGGGGGAUAACUACUGGAAACGGUAGCUAAUACCGCAUACUAUCGGAUGUGCCCAUAUGGGAUUAGCUAGUAGGUGGGGUAAAGGCUCACCUAGGCGACGAUCCCUAGCUGGUCUGAGAGGAUGAUCAGCCACACUGGAACUGAGACACGGUCCAGACUCCUACGGGAGGCAGCAGUGGGGAAUAUUGCACAAUGGGCGCAAGCCUGAUGCAGCCAUGCCGCGUGUAUGAAGAAGGCCUUCGGGUUGUAAAGUACUUUCAGCGGGGAGGCGUUACCCGAAGAAGAAGCACCGGCUAACUCCGUGCCAGCAGCCGCGGUAAUUC